AGUCGAGCGCCCCGCAAGGGGAGCGGCAGACGGGAGAGUAACACGUGGGAACGUACCCUUUGGUUCGGAACAACACAGGGAAACUUGUGCUAAUACCGGAUAAGCCCUUACGGGGAAAGAUUUAUCGCCAGAGGAUCGGCCCGCGUCUGAUUAGCUAGUUGGUGAGGUAACGGCUCACCAAGGCUACGAUCAGUAGCUGGUCUGAGAGGAUGAUCAGCCUCAUUGGGACUGAGACACGGCCCAAACUCCUACGGGAGGCAGCAGUGGGGAAUAUUGGACAAUGGGCGCAAGCCUGAUCCAGCCAUGCCGCGUGGAUGAUGAAGGCCUUAGGGUUGUAAAAUCCUUUCGGCGGGGAAGAUAAUGACGGUACCCGCAGAAGAAGCCCCGGCUAACUUCGUGCCAGCAGCCGCGGUAAUACGAAGGGGGCUAGCGUUGCUCGGAAUCACUGGGCGUAAAGCGCACGUAGGCGGCUUUCUAAGUCAGAGGUGAAGUCCUGGAGCUCAACUCCAGAACUGCCUUUGAUACUGGAGAGCUCGAGUCCGGGAGAGGUGAGUGGAACUGCGAGUGUAGAGGUGAAAUUCGUAGAUAUUCGCA
rnacentral:rRNA from 1 species